rnacentral:rRNA from 1 species
GUGGGGAAUUUUUCGCAAUGGGGGAAACCCUGACGAAGCAACGCCGCGUGGAGGAUGAAGGCCUUCGGGUCGUAAACUCCUGUCGACCGGGAAGAAUGCACCCGACCUAAUACGUCGAAGUGUUGACUGUACCGGUGGAGGAAGCCACGGCUAACUCUGUGCCAGCAGCCGCGGUAAUACAGAGGUGGCAAGCGUUGUUCGGAAUUACUGGGCGUAAAGGGCGCGUAGGCGGCCCGCCAAGUCCCGUGUGAAAGCCCCCGGCUCAACCGGGGAACGGCGCGGGAAACUAGCAGGCUUGAGUUCGGGAGAGGGAAGCGGAAUUCCGGGUGUAGCGGUGAAAUGCGCAGAUAUCCGGAGGAACACCGGUGGCGAAGGCGGCUUCCUGGACCGACACUGACGCUGAGGCGCGAAAGCUAGGGGAGCAAACGGGAUUAGAUACCCCAGUAGUCC